rnacentral:pre_miRNA from 1 species
UAAAUACUCCCUCCGUCCGGAAAUAUUUGUCAUCAGAAUGGAUAAAAAGUGGUGUAUCUAGAACUAAAAUACAUCUAGAUACAUCCCCUUUUAUUCAUCUUGAUGACAAGUAUUUCCGGACGGAGGGAGUAUAAG